GUCAAGUCCUCAUGGCCCUUAUGGGCUGGGCUACACACGUGCUACAAUGGCGGUGACAAUGGGCAGCGAUCCAGCAAUGGUGAGCUAAUCUCCAAAAGCCGUCUCAGUUCGGAUUGUCCUCUGCAACUCGACUCCAUGAAGGCGGAGUCGCUAGUAAUCGCAGAUCAGCAACGCUGCGGUCGAAUACGUUCCCGGGCCUU
rnacentral:rRNA from 1 species